rnacentral:piRNA from 1 species
UCCUAGUUCCUAUUUUUGCGA